AGUACUGAAUUUAUGAUAUGGAUGGCCUUCAUCACUUAGAUGUUUAUGAAGCUGGUUCAUUCUCCAAGCAUCUGACAAUAAAUUUUUCUGAUUCUCAGAAUCAACAGCUUUAAUCUCUCUUGUGGUUGCAUCAGCUGACAUUAGUGGUUUAAUAAAGAAUUGCGCAAAUCUGUCCAAAGCAUCUUCAAAACAAUCAGUGUUGACAUCAAAAUGGUAGUUGGUGUGCUCAGAAGAUGUAUAAGCAUUAGUGCAGCCUCCGUGCUCCGUUAUAUACUUGGAAUAACUAUCCUCCAACGGAUAUUUCUCACUCGCAUAAAACAGCAUAUGCUCCAGAAAAUGGGCAAGGCCUUCCAGGCCAACAGGAUCGCUGAAGGAGCCAACACUGACAUUCAUUGAAGCAGCACACUUAUCGGUUUCGGGAUCGCUGAUGAGAAGGACCUGAAGUGAAUUCUUGAGAACGAUCCUCCUAUACUCUCUUUUGUCCGUUCUUGGCUUGACUAUCUGCACCUCCUCUCUGCCCACCGCCAUUUUUCCUCUGUUCCACAGAGAGCAAAAGAGAAGGGAAGAGAAAGAUCAAAGAUGGCUUCUUUCACAGAAACUAUGGGAG
rnacentral:misc_RNA from 1 species